rnacentral:rRNA from 1 species
GAUGAACGCUAGCGGCAGGCCUAACACAUGCAAGUCGAGGGGUAGAGGAAGCUUGCUUCCUUGAGACCGGCGCACGGGUGCGUAACGCGUAUGCAAUCUACCUUGUACUGAGGGAUAGCCCAGAGAAAUUUGGAUUAAUACCUCAUAGUAUUAUGAAAUCGCAUGGUUUUAUAAUUAAAGUUCCAACGGUACAAGAUGAGCAUGCGUCCCAUUAGUUAGUUGGUAAGGUAACGGCUUACCAAGACAAUGAUGGGUAGGGGUCCUGAGAGGGAGAUCCCCCACACUGGUACUGAGACACGGACCAGACUCCUACGGGAGGCAGCAGUGAGGAAUAUUGGUCAAUGGACGCAAGUCUGAACCAGCCAUGCCGCGUGCAGGAUGAAGCAUCUAUGGUGUGUAAACUGCUUUUAUACGGGAAGAAACACUCCUACGUGUAGGAACUUGACGGUACCGUAAGAAUAAGGAUCGGCUAACUCCGUGCCAGCCGCCGCUGUAAAAC